UACGAAGGGGGCUAGCGUUGCUCGGAAUCACUGGGCGUAAAGCGCGCGUAGGCGGCCCGGUAAGUCCGUUGUAAAAGUCGAAGGCUCAACCUUCGAAAGCCGAUGGAUACUGCCGGGCUAGAGUACGGAAGAGGCGAGUAGAAUUCCUGGUGUAGCGGUGGAAUGCGCAGAUAUCAGGAGGAAUACCCAUAGCGAAGGCAGCUCGCUGGGACGUUACUGACGCUGAGGCGCGAAAGCGUGGGGAGCAAACAGG
rnacentral:rRNA from 1 species